GGGGUGGUUUUAGUACGUAGGCACCGGCUAGACACGCCGGUGAAUCGUGCAUACUAUUGGUACGGGCCAAUAGUAUCUCAGGAUAGAUUUCCACCUC
rfam:Drosophila ananassae strain TSC#14024-0371.13 Ctg01_15805, whole genome shotgun sequence.